AUACGGAGGGUGCUAGCGUUACUCGGAAUCACUGGGCGUAAAGCGCGCGCAGGCGGCUAUUUAAGUUGGAUGUGAAAGCCUAUGGCUCAACCAUAGAACUGCAUCCAAAACUAUUUAGCUAGAGUGUGGGAGAGGAAGAUGGAAUUAGUUGUGUAGGGGUAAAAUCCGUAGAGAUAACUAGGAAUACCAAAAGCGAAGGCAAUCUUCUGGAACACUACUGACGCUGAGGCGCGAAAGCGUGGGGAGCAAACAGGAUUAGAAACCCGAGUAGUCC
rnacentral:rRNA from 1 species